GAUCAUGGCUCAGAGUGAACGCUGGCGGCGUGCCUAAUACAUGCAAGUCGAACGGACAAGUAAGAGCUUGCUCUUAUGAGUUAGUGGCGCACGGGUGAGUAAUGUAUAGCUAAUCUGCCCUACACUAGAGGACAACAGUUGGAAACGACUGCUAAUACUCUAUACUCCUGUCUGACAUAAGUUAGAUAGGGAAAGUUUUUUCGGUGUAGGAUGAGGCUAUAUUGUAU
rnacentral:rRNA from 1 species